AUGGCCUGGACAGUGUUUCUUCUUGGGCUCCUUGCUUAUGGCUCAGGAGCUGAUUUUCAGAUUGUGGUGACCCAGGAGCCAUCACUGUCAGUGUCUCCAGGAGGAACAGUUACACUCACAUGUGGCCUAAGCUCUGGGUCAGUCACUAUAAGUAACUACCCUGAUUGGUACCAGCAGACUCCAGGCAGGUCUCCUCGCAUGCUUAUCUACAACACAAACAACCGCCCCUCUGGGGUCCCUAAUCACUUCUCUGGAUCCAUCUCUGGGAACAAAGCCGCCCUCACCAUCACAGGAGCCCAGCCUGAGGAUGAGGCUUACUACUACUGUGCUGUGUAUCAAGGCAGUGGGAGCAGCUACACUUACCCACAGUAUCUCAGAUAAGGAGGCAGCGAGACAAAAACCUCUGGGCCCUUGUCUCUGAUCCUUGUCAUUGAGAAGCUUCUGUGGAGCUUACAGUCAGGUGCAUGACAGUGAUCCUAAG